rnacentral:misc_RNA from 1 species
UUAAGUUCAGCGGGUAUUCCUACCUGAUCCGAGGUCAACCUUGUAAGACUUGAAGUGCUUUAACGGCUGGUGCCACCCGCUAAGCGCCCCAGAGCGAUGGUGUAAAUGACUACGCUCAGGGUCUCAGCGGGCCCGCCACUUGCUUUCGGGGCUGCCAUGCGGCAAAGGCCCCAACGCCGGUCCCGUAGGGGCCCGAGGGU